rnacentral:rRNA from 1 species
GAUGAACGCUGGCGGCGUGCAUACUACAUGCAAGUCGAGCGAAGCGGGGACGGGUGAGUAACACGUGGAUAACCUCCUCUCAGACUGGGAUAACUUCGGGAAACCGGAGCUCAACCGGAUACUUAUAGUUGGAUCCGCGCUGCAUUAGCUAGUUGGUAAGGUAACGGCUUACAAAGGCAACGAUGCAUAGCCGACCUGAGAGGUGGACGGGCCACACUGGAACGGGGACACGGUCCAGACUCCUACGGGAGGCAGAAGGGGGGAAUUUCCGGAAAUGGGCGAAAGCCUGACGGAGAAACGCCGCGUGAGUGAGUAAGGUCUUCGGAUCGUAAAACUAGUUUAUUAGGGAGGCGGUACCUAAUCAGAAAGCCACGGCUAACUACGUGCCAGCAGCCGCGGUAAUUC